CUGCUGGGCCACACCUGUUAAUGAUUCUGACUAUCAUAUUCGCUGGAAUCUAAUUAUGAGAGAAUGUCAGAAUCCUGAUGAUGGGACAGUGGAAGUUCUUCAGAAUGGCAAUGGCACAACAAGCUAUUUCUCCUUCAGAAUGUUCACCUUCUCAGGAAUUUCUGACCGCAUCUUCCUGCACUGUCAGGUUCAUCUUUGCCUUGUACAGAAUGGCAGAUGUGCACUGUCAUGCGACCCUGGAUAUAGACGUAGAAGGCGCAGAUCUUUGGACUUCUACCACUCUGCAGCAAUCACCAUGGGUCUUUAAGAAAGCUCAGUAAUCCUGAUAAAUGAAAUAUUAUGCAUUUAUAAUUCAAAUUAAGUAAUGAACAGAAAAAAAACCUCUCUAAUCAAUCUCUGUAUACAUGCAUUGAUUUAUUACUAUAGACUAGGGGUGUCCAAACUCGGUCCUGGAGGCUGCUGUCCUGCAUAGUUUAGUGUCAUCCAGCUCCAAAACCACCUGUCUGGGCGGUUUCUAGU